UCCUACGGGACGGCAGCAGUGGGGAAUAUUGCACAAUGGGGGAAACUCUGAUGCAGCAACGCCGCGUGAAGGAAGACGGUUUUCGGAUUGUAAACUUCUGUUCUUAGUGAAGAAGAAUGACGGUAGCUAAGGAGCAAGCCACGGCUAACUACGUGCCAGCAGCCGCGGUAAUACGUAGGGGGCAAGCGUUAUCCGGACUUACUGGGUGUAAAGGGAGCGUAGACGGAUAAGCAAGUCUGAUGUGAAAAUCCGGGGCCCAACCCCGGAAUUGCAUUGGAAACUGCAUAUCUAGAGUGUCGGAGAGG
rnacentral:rRNA from 1 species